CAGAGGUGGCAAGCGUUGUUCGGAAUUACUGGGCGUAAGGGCGCGUAGGCGGCCUUCUAAGUCAGACGUGAAAUCCCCAGGCUUAACUUGGGAACUGCGUCUGAUACUGGGAGGCUUGAAUGCGGGAGAGGGAUGUGGAAUUCCAGGUGUAGCGGUGAAAUGCGUAGAUAUCUGGAGGAACACCGGUGGCGAAGGCGGCAUCCUGGACCGACAUUGGCGCUGAGGCGCGAAAGCCAGGGGAGCAAACGGGAUUUAGAUACCCCGGUAGUCCUGGCCCUAAACGAUGAGUGCUUGGUGUGGCGGGUAUCGAUCCCUGCCGUGCCGAAGCUAACGCAUUAAGCACUCCGCCUGGGGAGUACGGUCGCAAGGCUG
rnacentral:rRNA from 1 species